rnacentral:rRNA from 1 species
GACGUAGGGCGCGAGCGUUUGUCCGGAUUUAUUGGGCGUAAAGGGCUCGUAGGCGGUUCGACAAGUCGGGUGUGAAACCUCCAGCUCAACCUGGAGUCGCCACUCGAAACUGUUGUGACUAGAGUCCGGUAGGGGAGCAGUGGAAUUCCUGGUGUAGCGGUGGAAUGCGCAGAUAUCAGGAGGAACACCAGUGGCGAAGGCGAUGCUCUGGGCCGGUACUGACGCUGAGGAGCGAAAGCAUGGGGAGCGAACAGG